ensembl:lncRNA
GACCCUUUCCUUUUCUUUGGCUGAUGUGGGAUAUACAUAAGACCUUAUUCAGCAGAAUAAGCUUACCAGGUGAAGAGGAUGCAAUGUUUAUGCAAACAUUACCUGCCGGAACCAGGCCUCCUCCCUUUCACAGCUGAUUUGAAAUUGUUGGCUUCGGAACUGGAAGGUGGUGUCCCACCUCCUGCUGAGAUCAGAGUGGUGAAAGCUGUGAAUCCUUUCCUCUCUCUGGAAAAAAGCUUCUGAUAACCAGGGUAGAAGAAUGCAGUUGUUUGAAAUAGAGCAGUACCAUGGCACAUCUCUACAUCCUGUGUGACUUGAGGCAGUGAACAGGGAAAUCUUCUAUCAUGGGUACUCUGAUUUGCUUCCUCUGCCCUUUAUCAUGGUUUUGAUCUAAAAUGAUACAGUGAAAUGGAAACUUGGAAUGGAAGCCAGAAAGCCAGGGGAGGCUUGGUUCAGUGCUGCAGUACUCUAAGCCUAGCACUUGAUUCACUGGGAACCUCAGAAAAAUACACUUAACCUUUUAGGAUUGUAGUUUGCACAGCUGCAUGGGGGAAUAUUACUUGCUUACCUCAGAAGAACAAUGUGAACCUUAAUUAAUGUUUGUGAACAUUUGGAAACAGAAUUGCUCUGCCAUCUUCAAUCAUAUGGACCCACAAGAUGAGUCCCAAGAGAUGAUCUCCCAAGAAGAUCCUGGUGUCAGAGCAAUGGACAAGUAUUAAUCUUGAGAGUGCAUAUGAUACUUCAGACAUGGUGGAUACUUCAGACAUGACUCUUCUAGCCUGCAUAGGCAGGAGCUGUAGCAGAGCGUGAUCUCUCAGAGCAGAGGUGUGAGAAUGGGAUAGAGCCCAAGGUUUGCCUGUAACAGGGCUUGUAGGAAGAAAAACAGCCCAGGUGUGAUAGGGAAGGAGCACGUGGGGUGUUUUCUUUCUUAUCUCUGCUGACAUCUUUGUGAAAUCGUGCUUAUUAACCGAUAUGAUGGAAAUGUUGAAAGAGACUGAGUGAUGACAAUGCCUGUGAAUUGAUGCUGAUAACAUGCAUGGAGAUCAGCUACAAGCUGCAUUAAACCAACAUGAAACUGAAUCUCCAUGCUCUUGUUUCCAAAGAAUGUGUAGUGUCUUAUAAUUUUGAAUGACUUUCUGUGGUGUCUACGAAAUCUAUUGUGAGAUACAGUUGGGAAUAACAUUUACUGGAAAUGGAUCUGAAAGAAAAUGAAGCAAUUUAGGAUGGUAAUUUGUGGCUUGCUGUUUUUUAUUUGUUUUUUAUUUUUUUCAUUAUGAGCAAAUUCCAAAAUAAUUGUUGUGAGUUCACAUCGCUUGGCCAUGCUAUUACAUUUUCUGUGUGUUUUCUGGUUGAGAUACUUUCCAGAAUUAGAAAUCAACAAAACCAAUUAAAUAAUUUGGUACAGGCAAUUACAGAACAGAAGCAAUACUUUUCUAAAGCAGGCAAUCAAAAAAGCCAAAAUGAUGCUUUAUUUGACAAUAAACCGUGUGUUUGGCAUUGCAGUCUGAAAGGUAAUAAAUCUAUAAAAAUGUUACUACAUUUUGUAAGUACUGAAUAAUAAAAACGAUCACAAAUUUUUAUAUUUUGGGAGUUUUAAAGCUCUAAAAUGAUGAAAUUGUAUCAGAAGAGCUUCUGAAGCUUAUCAAAUAAAAAGAACGGUAGAGUCACCUGUAUAUGAAACCACAGAAUAUCAGAAAUAACACAGUUGAAUUGUAACAUUUAUCACACAACUUACAAUAUCACACAAACUAACUGAAAUAUUCUGUUGAAGAAGCCAAUGGAAAUUGAGAGUGAAUAAAUAUCUCUGAGUUUCUUCUUAUGGAUAAAUCUUAAAGCCACUGGAAGUGUGUUUUUUUUUUCCCUAAAGUUCAAAUUCAUUAAUUUUAAUAAUACGUUUAAGGAAGGAAUAAAACGCUUUUCUUU